rnacentral:rRNA from 1 species
ACUCCUACGGGAGGCAGCAGUGGGGAAUUUUGGACAAUGGGCGAAAGCCUGAUCCAGCAAUGCCGCGUGCAGGAUGAAGGCCUUCGGGUUGUAAACUGCUUUUGUACGGAACGAAAAAGCUCCUUCUAAUACAGGGGGCCCAUGACGGUACCGUAAGAAUAAGCACCGGCUAACUACGUGCCAGCAGCCGCGGUAAUACGUAGGGUGCGAGCGUUAAUCGGAAUUACUGGGCGUAAAGCGUGCGCAGGCGGUUAUGUAAGACAGAUGUGAAAUCCCCGGGCUCAACCUGGGAACUGCAUUUGUGACUGCAUGGCUAGAGUACGGUAGAGGGGGAUGGAAUUCCGCGUGUAGCAGUGAAAUGCGUAGAUAUGCGGAGGAACACCGAUGGCGAAGGCAAUCCCCUGGACCUGUACUGACGCUCAUGCACGAAAGCGUGGGGAGCAAACAGGAUUAGAUACCCCAGUAGUCCCAUGA